UGUGCAGCGACGGCAUCUCAUCGUGUCUCUUCAAUGUUUGGCUGAAGCACUGGGUCAAAGUCGGUUAUCCUGUGUUGUAUUCCCCAUGAGAUGGCAUUGCGUCGACCAAAUUGUCCCUCAUCCGUCCAGCGUUGCUUCUCCAACUGGAAAAGUUGCGUGGGGCGGACCACAAAGCUCCCGUUGUGUUUCGCUGCGAUGGCACUCGCUAUUUGUGUGGGUGCAUUCGUCGAUGACCCACAACGGUGCGCUCGAUCUCUCGGAUGCGGAACAUUGAGCGGCACAAGGGCCUUUGGCCCUAACGUGCCCCCCGAAAGAGCGUUCUACGCCUCGUGCGGACGACUUUCGCCCGGCCUUGUUCGUGAGCCCCCGUGGCUCAAGAUCAUGCCGAAGCGGUGUCGCUGAGGAAUGCUACCUGGUUGAUCCUGCCAGUA
rnacentral:misc_RNA from 1 species